rnacentral:rRNA from 1 species
UACGUAGGGGGCAAGCGUUGUCCGGAAUUAUUGGGCGUAAAGCGCGCGCAGGCGGCUGUUUAAGUCUGGUGUUUAAGCCCGGGGCUCAACCCCGGUUCGCACUGGAAACUGGAUGGCUUGAGUGCAGAAGAGGAGAGUGGAAUUCCACGUGUAGCGGUGAAAUGCGUAGAGAUGUGGAGGAACACCAGUGGCGAAGGCGGCUUUUUGGUCUGUAACUGACGCUGAGGCGCGAAAGCGUGGGGAGCAAACAGG